rnacentral:rRNA from 1 species
GCCAGCAGCCGCGGUAAUACGUAGGUGGCGAGCGUUAUUCGGGAUUAUUGGGCCUAGAGGGUUCGUAGGGAGUAAUGUAAGUCCGGUGUGAAAUCUCGAGGCUCAACCUCGAAACUGCAUUGGAAACUGCAUUACUUGAGUGUCAGAGAGGAAAGCGGAAUUCCUGGUGUAGCGGUGGAAUGCGUAGAUAUCAGGAAGAACACCGACGGCGAAGGCAGCUUUCUGGCUGGCAACCGACCCUGAUGAACGAAAGCUAGGGUAGCGAACAGGAUUAGAUACCCUGGUAGUCCUAGCUGUAAACGUUGUGCACUGGAUGUGGGCGGAUUUGGUCCCGUCUGUGUCUGAGCGAAGGCGUUAAGUGCACCGCCUGGGGACUACGGCCGCAAGGCUAAAACUCAAAGGAAUUGACGGGGGCCCGCACAAGCGGUGGAGCAUGUGGCUCAAUUCGAGGCAACGCGAAGAACCUUACCUGGGUUUGACAUAUACCUGACCGCCGGUGAGAGCCGGUUUCUCUUUGAGCAGGUAUACAGGUGCUGCAUGGCUGUCGACAGCUCGUGCUGUGAAGUGUUCGGUUAAGUCCGGCAACGAGCGCAACCCACGCUGUUAGUUACCAUCAGGUAAUGCUGGGGACUCUAACAGGACUGCCCGUGCUAAGCGGGAGGAAGGCGUGGACGACGUCAAGUCCGCAUGGCCCUUACGCCCAGGGCUGCACACGUGCUACAAUGGCCGGUACAGAGGGUCGCCACUCUGCGAAGAGGAGCUAAUCCCGAAAACCGGCCUCAGUUCGGAUUGGAGUCUGCAACCCGACUCCAUGAAGUAGGAAUCGCUAG